GAUUUGCCUCCUGUGCUAGGCAAGAACCUUGGGAUGGGCUUUGUGUGCCUGCUGUCCUAGCACACUGCUGGAGGAGCCCCUGGCCACGUGCCAGGCCCCCUGUGAUUCUGUGCUGCAGAAGAGGUUUUGUCAUGAUCCACUGACCCUCCCAGAAGAUGCUUUAAUGUUGCUGAUUCUACCUUAGAUGUGCAGACAGGAAGGCAGGAAUGCACUUCUGGGAGAGGCACUGCACCUCCUGCAGCGUUGGAACCUGAGGGAAUUGGUCACCAGGAGCUGUGAUUUCCUUCUGUGAUCCUCCAGCUGUUCUACCUCUCUGUGUGCUACUCAGCAACAUAUCAAGGCUUUAAGAGUGGCUGCUGCUUGCACUGUGAAGAAAGGUGGUCCUUCCAGCCUUUCCCAGCAAGGUGACAUUGUCCUGUCCCUAAGGGGACUGUUGGAGCUCUAAAGUAUUUGAGUGGGAGUCUGUGACUUGAGGUUUCACUUGGUCCUUGCUGGAUAAUACAUCCCAGCUGGGGCAUUCCUAUGACACUUAAACCAUUUUGCUGUUGCCCAAAGAGUCUGGGGACUCCCCAUCCCUUCAAGUGUUCAAGAUUGGACAGGGCUUGGAGCAAACUGGUCUAGUGGAAGGUGUCCCUGCCCAUGGCAGGGGG
rnacentral:lncRNA from 1 species